AUUGAACGCUGGCGGCAUGCUUUACACAUGCAAGUCGAACGGUAACAGGCCGCAAGGUGCUGACGAGUGGCGAACGGGCGAGUAAUGCAUCGGAACGUGCCCAGGCGUGGGGGAUAACUACUCGUAAGAGUAGCUAAUCCCGCAUACGAUCUGUGGAUCAAAUCGGGGGUCCGUGAGGGCUCGCGCGAUUGGAUGGGCAGAUGUCAGAUUAGGUAGUUGGUGGGGUAAAGGCUCACCAAGCCAACGAUCUGUAGCGGGUCUGAGAGGACGACCAGCCACACUGGGACUGAGACACGGCCCAGACUCCUACGGGAGGCAGCAGUGGGGAAUUUUGGACAAUGGGCGCAAGCCUGAUCCAGCAAUGCCGCGUGCAGGAAGAAGGCCUUCGGGUUGUAAACUGCUUUUGUACGGAACGAAACGGCUCUGGUUAAUACCCGGGGCUAAUGACGGUACCGUAAGAAUAAGCACCGGCUAACUACGUG
rnacentral:rRNA from 1 species